GGAAUCUUCCACAAUGGACGCAAGUCUGAUGGAGCAACACCGCGUGAGUGAAGAAGGGUUUCGGCUCGUAAAGCUCUGUUGUUAAAGAAGAACGUGGGUAAGAGUAACUGUUUACCCAGUGACGGUAUUUAACCAGAAAGCCACGGCUAACUACGCGCCAG
rnacentral:rRNA from 1 species